rnacentral:rRNA from 1 species
UACAGAGGUCUCAAGCGUUGUUCGGAUUCAUUGGGCGUAAAGGGUGCGUAGGUGGCGCCAUAAGUCAGGUGUGAAAUCUCGGGGCUCAACCUCGAAACUGCACUUGAUACUGCGGUGCUUGAGGACUGGAGAGGAGACUGGAAUUCACGGUGUAGCAGUGAAAUGCGUAGAUAUCGUGAGGAAGACCAGUGGCGAAGGCGGGUCUCUGGACAGUUCCUGACACUGAGGCACGAAGGCCAGGGGAGCAAACGGG